rnacentral:hammerhead_ribozyme from 1 species
GGCUAGCAGUGGAAUCCAAGACUCGCGUUUCGUCCCAUUUGGGACUCGUCAGCUAGAUGUACCUGCAUCUCAGAGUUGAUGUUCACUCUGGGACUCAAACCCAGUACCUUUCGCUUCAAAUAGGACGAAACGCGCGUCCUGGAU